UCUCAUUCAAAAUAUUAGUUAUUUUAGGGUAAUUAAAUUAUACAGUAAAGUAUACUCACACAAAGACACAGACAAUCUUACUGAUGCACACAAAUAGGCUCAUUGACAGACAAUCUCAAUGACACACACAGACAAGGUUACUGGCACACACAAAUUUAGUACAGAAACUCUGAUACACACACAAGCUUACUACAGACAAGCUCACUGUCACACACACACGCUCACUACAGACAAGCUCACUGAUGCGCACACACUCCCUACAGACAAGCCCAUUGACACACACAUGCUCCCUACAGAACAGCUCACUAACACACAGAUUCACUACAGACAAGCUUACUGACACACACAUGCUCACUGACACACACGCUCACGGACACACACGCUCAUUACAGACAAGAGCUCACUAACACACAUACAAGCUCCCUCACUAGCAGGCACACACACACACACACACACACAGAGGCUCCCUCACUAGCAGGCGCACGCACACACAGAGGCAGACAGUCACUGACACCGAGGCAAACAUCCACACAUACAGAGACAGGCAGACAGCCACACACACACAGGCAGAC